CGGGUGCGUAACGCGUAUGCAACCUACCUUUUCCAGGGGGAUAGCCUUCCGAAAGGAGAUUAACACCGCAUAAGAUCAUUAAUUGGCAUCAGUUGGUGAUGAAAUCUACGGAGGGAAAAGAUGGGCAUGCGUCCGAUUAGCUAGUUGGCGGGGUAGUGGCCCACCAAGGCCACGAUCGGUCGGGGACCUGAGAGGGCGAUCCCCCACACUGGCACUGAGAUACGGGCCAG
rnacentral:rRNA from 1 species